rnacentral:tRNA from 1 species
GGCCCUAUCGUCUAACGGUCAGGACACUGGCUUUUCAAGCCAUUAAUCGGGGUUCGAUUCCCCGUAGGGCUA